CAGGUGGCGCCGUCCCGCCUCGGUGCCCGACUCCGGGCGCUCAGAAGUGCGGGACAGAAUCGCAGCGAGCGCGGAGCCGAAGCUCAGCCCCGACUUGUUGAUCUCGCCCAAGCAGCCGCCACCGCUGCCGCGGGAGCAGGAGAAGGAGGAGGAGGCGCCGCCGCCCGAUCCCGGUCUUGCCACCCGCGCCCCCAGCGCCCGUCCGCGCCCCCAGCCUCAGAGAGCGCGCUCCGGCCCCGCAGCGCCUGCUGCUCCGACGCGUCGCCUGCCCGUCCGGCGUAGGCCGGGCCCAGCCCGGCCCCGGGUCCGCCGCUGCCCGCGGGCGGGGGCGCCCGGGCGACCGCGGCGAUGCGCGGUCCCUGGCGCCGGGAGGCGGCCACCCUGGGGCCGUCGGGAUGGAGGUGAGAAGACGGCCGUGACGCGCGCCCGCGCGACCCCCUGCACCCCCAGCAGCCCACAGCGCUCCCUGCCCCCCUCCCCCGCGGCGGCUGGCCUUGCCCUCCAGUGACAGCGGCCUGGGGGGGCAGGGGGGGCGGGGGCGGCCGGACCAGCGAUGCCGGCGGGCAUGACGAAGCAUGGCUCACGCUCCACCAGCUCGCUGCCACCCGAGCCCAUGGAGAUCGUGCGCAGCAAGGCGUGCUCGAGGCGCGUCCGCCUCAACGUUGGUGGUCUGGCGCACGAGGUGCUCUGGCGCACCCUGGACCGCCUGCCCCGCACGCGGCUGGGCAAGCUGCGUGACUGCAACACGCACGACUCGCUGCUGGAGGUGUGCGAUGACUACAGCCUCGACGACAAUGAGUACUUCUUCGACCGCCACCCGGGCGCCUUCACCUCCAUCCUCAACUUCUACCGCACCGGACGGCUGCACAUGAUGGAGGAGAUGUGCGCGCUCAGCUUCAGCCAAGAGCUCGACUACUGGGGCAUCGACGAAAUCUACCUGGAGUCCUGCUGCCAGGCCCGCUACCACCAGAAGAAGGAGCAGAUGAACGAGGAGCUCAAGCGCGAGGCAGAAACCCUACGGGAGCGGGAGGGCGAGGAGUUCGAUAACACGUGCUGCGCCGAGAAGAGGAAAAAGCUCUGGGACUUACUGGAGAAGCCCAAUUCCUCUGUGGCCGCCAAGGUGAGUGUGAAAUCUAGGGGCUGCUGGGCUGGGGCAUUCUGCCUGUGUCCCCAGAUCGAGGACCACGGCUGGGGGACUCUGGCUUAGUUCCCAAAUGUGAAGACCAGAAAAGAGGAAGGGCUAUGGCUGAGAUCUCAGAGGUGAGGACGAACAACCCCUUCAGACUGUUCCUAGGUGGCACUGGCCACCUCAUCCUUUUAUCAUUCAAUAAUUUAUACCCCAACUUUGUUGGAGAAAAGGAUUUACAGAGACUUAUGGAAACCCACAGCAAGAGAAUGGACACUGCAAAUAAAAAGGGCACGGAGAGAUAAAGCUUUGGGAUGGAGUAGAGUUGAGUUUGGUCUAUUCUACAUAAUGCUCCCUUGUGGAGGCCCAGACCCGGGCUGGAGGGGGGUCACCCUGCAAUUUUAAUACUUAUCCCUAUAUUUAUAACCUCAUUUUGCCCCAAGAAGGGAAUGAAGGCAGCUUACAGACAUACGUGGAGGACAUUGAGAUACUGUCAGGCGGUUUUAGCAUAAGUGAGAGAAACGAGGCAAAGGGACUCUGGGGGGUGGGUGUGCGCGUGCAUGACGCAUGCAGCUGGCUGUGGUUGCUUGUGGGCGAGGGGUCACCCCUGGUUUGGUCUUUCUUAAUUUGGUGAGUUGAUUCCAAGAAUGGUUUGAUGCAGCUUCUAAAGAUGCUUUGGCUGUCGGAAGAGGAUGUAAAUUUCGAAAUAGGAGGAAAAAAAAUGAGGCAAUGUGAAAAAUAACGCAGGAGAAAGAGGCAGGAAUGGGUUCAGUCACACCGGGUAGGCCAGGGAGUCCUGCGUGCUCUCAGGUAAAAAAAAAGCAGAGGCUGUAAGGGACUAAGAAAGGAUGGGGGUGGGGGCCAGGUCAGGCCAGGAGGUCACUUGUUGAUGAGCAACUUCUCUGUGUCAGGUUGGGACUCGGGGUUGCCUCAGAGAGGUGGGGGCCUGUCUUCACGAGGCCAGUGGGCUGGGAUUUGGGAGUAAAUGACAACACAGUGUGUGCAGUGCUAUAAAAGAGGCCGUGCGGGACCCAGGGGGAGCCCAGAACAGAGAGGUGUUGAUGUCAAAAUCCAGGAAAACCAAGUUGGGAAAGACGUGUUGAACGUAACUCAUUCUCUGAGUGCAGGGCCAAAGAAGGGGGGGCAGGUAAAUGUAUUCAUGGCGAAAGGAAAAAGAGAAGAGGAAGUCUGCGUACCAGCCAUGAUGUAUUAGCUAGGGCUGCCUCCUGUCCAGCCUGGCCUCUCAUUGUGGGUGCUCCCUGGCUCAACUGCCCCCCACUAAAGGCCCACCUACAGGGCUGGGUCUGGAGCGGGUUUUGUGGGGUCCUUUCUCCAGAUCUGUCUGCCCAAGGAGAGGCCUUUGCGAGUGAGUGUAGGACUGAGUGGCUGGUUGGAGGGUGGAGAGAGGCCCAAAGGUUUUCUCUCUUCCGCGUCGACCCUAAAGAGGACAGAGAGAUUCCUAGGCCUGUUUCCUCUUCUGUGGGCUGCCCCUGGCCGUAAUCCUGCCCCAGGUUUCAUGUCCAAAAAGCCUCUCUCUUAAGACAUAGUCAUUCACCCUUAACCGGCUUAGGAUCAACAGACUUAUUUUGCUAUUUCCAGGCCUGACACGGGUUCUUCCCCUCCACACCUGGUUUAGACCCAGAUACGACUCUCCCUCCUUCCUGCCCUGUCCCCAAGACAAGAGAGUGAGGGGCAGAGGAGGGGAGGGUCACUUCCCCAGAAGAAGCAGGCAAGAGGCUGUGUUUGGGUUUGUGCCUGACAGCUAGGCAAGUAGCUCAGGCUCGCAAAAGGCGCUGUUUGGGAAUCAACAGCUUCCUCUCUCCCUCGGGUUAAUCCGCUCACAGGGACGAGGUUCAUGACCUCUCUGUGAUCCUAGGCCGGGGCUGCCGGCUAGUCCGAGCAGAUGGACGACAGCCUAGGGUAUUCUGCAGCCAAGGCUGAAAUGGUGAGGCAGGCAGGCUCGUGGGCCCUCAGUAUAGAAAUCCUGCCAUUGUUCACACAUCUACUAUGUCUGAAGUAUAACAACACACUUAGCCGUAUACCAAUUCUCUAGUAUUAUCCCACCUUUCACAAAGAGGGAAGAUCAGAGAGGUUAAGUAACUCACCUAAGGUCGUGUGACAGGCAAACAGGAGUAGCCAGAAAUUCAAACUCAAGUGUGAUUUUGAAGGCACUGUUCUUUCCAUAGUGAUUAAGUACCAUAGUCUCCUCCGCAGUCUCCCUGCUUCCACCUUUGCCCCCUGCAAUCCAUUCCCCAUUCGGCAGCCAGAACGAGCUUUUCUAAAUGUAUAUUGGAUCACAUUAUUCAUCUGCUCGAAAUGCUCCAGAGAGGUUUACCAUCGCACUCAGAAUAAAGUCCAAACGCUUCACCAUGAAUCCAGCUUCAUGACCUCUCUGAGCUCAUCUCUUCUCUCCUCUGUUCACUCAGUUUCAGCCCCACUGGCCUCCUUGCUGUU